UGCCAGCAGCCGCGGUAAUACGGAGGGUGCAAGCGUUAUCCGAAAUAACUGGGCGUAAAGCGUUCGUAGACGGUAAAGUCAGUUUUUUGUUAAAUUUUAAAGCUUAACCUUAAAUUAGCAUUUAAUACAGCUUUACUUGAGUUUAAUGCAGAAAAGUGGAAUUUUAUAUGAAGAGGUAACACUUGUAGAUAUAUAAAGGAACACCAUAAUUGGUGAAGACAACUUUUUAGUAAGAACUGACGUUGAGGAACGAAAGUAUAGGGAGCAAACAGGAUUAGAUA
rnacentral:rRNA from 1 species